GCAGAGAUGAUUUACUGCUACAAGAAGAUCGCUGCCGCCACGGAGACUGCUGCACAGGAGAAUGCCUCGGAAUACCUGGCCAUCACCUCUGAAAGCAAAGAGAACUGCACGGGCGUCCAGGUGGCCGAAUAGCCCUGGCCCUGGGCCCCGCCUCAAGGAAGAGCCAGCCGUAAUGGGGACUCUCCAGGCACCGCCUGCCCCCAGCGUGGGGGUGGCCACUCCUGGGCCCCAGAAAGCCUCAGAGUCCUGCCGACGGAGCCACUGGGGUGGGAGGGGGCAGGGGGCUUGGCUCGCACCCCCACUUUCGCCUCCUCCAGCUCCUGCCCCGCCGGCCGCGCACCGCCAUGCAUGAUGGGUAAAGCAAUACUGCCGCUGCCCCCACCCUGCUUCUGCUGCCUGUUUGGGGAGGGGGGCGGUGAGGUGGGGGCAGCGGCCCCGCACCCCUCCUCCUUGCUGAUUUGCACACAUUGGCCGCUUCAGACACGCACUUCUGGGGCCAGCCCCUCCCCGCCUCCUCCCUGCCUGGCGGCAGGGGUCGCGAUGAUGGGCUGGAGCAGUUUGGGGCAGGGGGUUCUGGGACCCACUCCGACUCCCCCUCCCCGGCAUCAUUUCCCCUCCCGCUUCCUCCGGCUGGACCUGGGGUCCCCCCUCCCUGUAAUGCACUCCUGCCCCGGCCCAACCUCGCCCUCUCUCACCAGCCUUGAACUGUGGCCACCUAGAAAGGGGCCCAUUCAGCCUCGUCUCUUUACAGAAGUAGUUUUGUUCAUGAAAUAAAGACUCUUGGACUUG
rnacentral:lncRNA from 1 species